UACGAAGGGGGCUAGCGUUGCUCGGAAUUACUGGGCGUAAAGCGCACGUAGGCGGCUUCUUAAGUCGGGGGUGAAAUCCUGGAGCUCAACUCCAGAACUGCCUUCGAUACUGGAGAGCUUGAGUUCGGGAGAGGUGAGUGGAACUGCGAGUGUAGAGGUGAAAUUCGUAGAUAUUCGCAAGAACACCAGUGGCGAAGGCGGCUCACUGGCCCGAUACUGACGCUGAGGUGCGAAAGCGUGGGGAGCAAACAGG
rnacentral:rRNA from 1 species